ACUAGGAUGGCCGAGUGGUUAAGGCGUUGGACUAAAAAUCCAAUAGAUGUUUGUCUGUGUGGGUUCAAGCCCUACUCCUGGUA
rnacentral:tRNA from 1 species